GACGAACGCUGGCGGCGUGCUUAACACAUGCAAGUCGAACGGGAUCCAUGGAGUAGCAAUACUCUGGAAGAUCUAGUGGCGAACGGGUGAGUAACACGUGAGCAACCUGCCCCAAAGACUGGGAUAACCCCGGGAAACCGGAGCUAAUACCGGAUGUCCUCAUUAGAUCGCAUGGUCAUAUGAGGAAAUGAAUUUUUCGCUUUGGGAGGGGCUCGCGGGCUAUCAGUUUGNGGUGGGGUAAUGGCCUACCAAGACAUCGACGGCUAGCUGGUCUGAGAGGACGAUCAGCCACACUGGGACUGAGACACGGCCCAGACUCCUACGGGAGGCAGCAGUGGGGAAUCUUGCCCAAUGGGCGAAAGCCUGAGGCAGCAACGCCGCGUGCGGGAUGACGGCC
rnacentral:rRNA from 1 species